UCGGGCCCGCGUAUAUUUACUCUGAAUGUGUAUAGAAUGUAAACCGUUCGUUUGCCCUGAAAAAGCAAACGAAAAAAAGUACAACUUUCAACAACGGAUCUCUUGGCUCUCGCAUCGAUGAAGAACGCAGCGAAAUGCGAUAAGUAAUGUGAAUUGCAGAUUUUCAGUGAAUCAUCGAAUCUUUGAACGCACCUUGCGCCCCUUGGUAUUCCGAGGGGCAUGCCUGUUUGAGUGUCAUUAAAUCCUCAACCGCGCCGAUCGAUUUCGGUGGGGCUUGGACUUUGGAGCGUGCUGGCGAAGGUCGGCUCCUCUUUAAAUGCAUCAGCGGAAGAAACCUUUGUCUUUCCUGCCCUUCGGUGUGAUAAUCGUGUUGCGCCGCGGUGGAACUUCAACGAUCCGCUUACAAUGGUCUUCGGACGAAUACCUCAUGUCAUCUUGACCUCAAAUCAGGUAGGACUACCCGCUGAACUUAAGCAUAU
rnacentral:misc_RNA from 1 species